GCAGCGGUGGCCUCGAUUAUUGGGCCUAAAGGGGCCGUAGCCGGACCGAUGUGGCCCCUGUGAAAUCCACGGGCUCAACCCGUGGGCGCGCGGGGGCUACUAUCGGUCUAGGGGACGGGAGAAGCUGGGGGUAUUCCGGGGGGAGCGGUGAAAUGCUGUAAUCCCCGGAGGACCACCCGAGGCGAAGGCGCCCAGCUAUCCCGCUCCCGACGGUGAGGGCCGAAAGCUGGGGGAUCAAAUGGGAUUAGAGACCCCAGUAGUCCCAGCUGUCAACGCUGCGGGCUAUCUGCCGGAAGGGCUUAGAGCCCUUUCGGUGGAGUAGGGAAGCCGUUAAGCCCGCCGCCUGGGGAGUACGGCCGCAAGGCUGAAACUUAAAGGAAUAGGCGGGGGGGCAUACAAGGGGUGGGGUGUGCGGUUUAAUGGGAACUGACACCGGAAACCUUACCGGGGGCGACAGCAGGAUGAAGGUCAGGCUGAAGACCUUACCUGACACGCUGAGAGGAGGUGCAUGGCCGCCGUCAGCUCGUGCCGUGAGGUGUCCUGUUAAGUCAGGAAACGAGCGCGACCCGCGCCCGCAGUUGCGACGGAAGAGAGUUUUCUCUUCCGGCACACUGCGGGGACUGCCGGGGAAACCCGGAGGAAGGCGCGGGCGACGGCAGGUCCGCAUGCCCCGAAUCCCCCGGGCUACACGCGCGCAAC
rnacentral:rRNA from 1 species